UUCUUUAAAUGAGGACUAGUAUCAAUGGCAUCACGAGGAUCCUACUGUCUCCCCCCUCUAAUCAGUGAAACUGAUCUCUCCGUGAAGAAGNGGGGAUAUACAUNUAAGACGAGAAGACCCCAUGGAGCUUUAAACCCGACAGCACCCGCUUAUUUUAAGCCCAAUUA
rnacentral:rRNA from 1 species